rnacentral:rRNA from 1 species
UACGUAGGGUGCAAGCGUUACUCGGAAUCCCUGGGCGUAAAGCGCACGUAGGCGGCUUCUUAAGUCAGGGGUGAAAUCCUGGAGCUCAACUCCAGAACUGCCUUUGAUACUGGAGAUCUUGAGUCCGGGAGAGGUGAGUGGAACUCCGAGUGUAGAGGUGAAAUUCGUAGAUAUUCGGAAGAACACCAGUGGCGAAGGCGGCUCACUGGCCCGGUACUGACGCUGAGGUGCGAAAGCGUGGGGAGCAAACAGG